GAGUAACACGUGAGUAACCUGCCCUUAACUCUGGGAUAAGCCUGGGAAACUGGGUCUAAUACCGGAUAGGAGCGUCCACCGCAUGGUGGGUGUUGGAAAGAUUUAUCGGUUUUGGAUGGACUCGCGGCCUAUCAGCUUGUUGGUGAGGUAAUGGCUCACCAAGGCGACGACGGGUAGCCGGCCUGAGAGGGUGACCGGCCACACUGGGACUGAGACACGGCCCAGACUCCUACGGGAGGCAGCAGUGGGGAAUAUUGCACAAUGGGCGAAAGCCUGAUGCAGCGACGCCGCGUGAGGGAUGACGGCCUUCGGGUUGUAAACCUCUUUCAGUAGGGAAGAAGCGAAAGUGACGGUACCUGCAGAAGAAGCACCGGCUAACUACGUGCCAGCAGCCGCGGUAAUACGUAGGGUGCGAGCGUUAUCCGGAAUUAUUGGGCGUAAAGAGCUCGUAGGCGGUUUGUCGCGUCUGUCGUGAAAGUCCGGGGCUUAACCCCGGAUCUGCGGUGGGUACGGGCAGACUAGAGUGCAGUAGGGGAGACUGGAAUUCCUGGUGUAGCGGUGGAAUGCGCAGAUAUCAGGAGGAACACCGAUGGCGAAGGCAGGUCUCUGGGCUGUAACUGACGCUGAGGAGCGAAAGCAUGGGGAGCGAACAGGAUUAGAUACCCUGGUAGUCCAUGCCGUAAACGUUGGGCACUAGGUGUGGGGACCAUUCCACGGUUUCCGCGCCGCAGCUAACGCAUUAAGUGCCCCGCCUGGGGAGUACGGCCGCAAGGCUAAAACUCAAAGGAAUUGACGGGGGCCCGCACAAGCGGCGGAGCAUGCGGAUUAAUUCGAUGCAACGCGAAGAACCUUACCAAGGCUUGACAUGUUCUCGAUCGCCGUAGAGAUACGGUUUCCCCUUUGGGGCGGGUUCACAGGUGGUGCAUGGUUGUCGUCAGCUCGUGUCGUGAGAUGUUGGGUUAAGUCCCGCAACGAGCGCAACCCUCGUUCCAUGUUGCCAGCACGUAAUGGUGGGGACUCAUGGGAGACUGCCGGGGUCAACUCGGAGGAAGGUGAGGACGACGUCAAAUCAUCAUGCCCCUUAUGUCUUGGGCUUCACGCAUGCUACAAUGGCCGGUACAAUGGGUUGCGAUACUGUGAGGUGGAGCUAAUCCCAAAAAGCCGGUCUCAGUUCGGAUUGGGGUCUGCAACUCGACCCCAUGAAGUCGGA
rnacentral:rRNA from 1 species